GGUUGAUCCUGCCGGACCUGACUGCUAUCGGAUUGAUACUAAGCCAUGCGAGUCAUUGUAGCAAUACAAGGCAGACGGCUCAGUAACGCGUAGUCAAUCUACCCUAUGGACGGGAAUAAUCUCGGGAAACUGAGAAUAAUGCCCGAUAGAACAUUAUGCCUGGAAUGGUUUAUGUUUCAAAUGAUUUAUCGCCAUAGGAUGGGACUGCGGCCUAUCAGUUUGUUGGUGAGGUAAUGGCCCACCAAGACUAUUACAGGUACGGGCUCUGAGAGGAGUGGCCCGGAGAUGGGUACUGAGACACGGACCCAGGCCCUAUGGGGCGCAGCAGGCGAGAAAACUUUGCAAUGUGCGAAAGCACGACAAGGUUAAUCCGAGUGGUUUCUGCUAAAGAAACCUUUUGUCAGUCCUAGAAACACUAACGAAUAAGGGGUGGGCAAGUUCUGGUGUCAGCCGCCGCGGUAAAACCAGCACCUCAAGUGGUCAGGAUGAUUAUUGGGCCUAAAGCAUCCGUAGCUCGUUUUGUAAGUUUUCGGUUAAAUCCAUACGCUUAACGUAUGGGCUGCCGGGAAUACUGCAUAACUAGGAAGUGGAGAGGUAGACGGUACUCGGUAGGAAGGGGUAAAAUCCUUUGAUCUAUUGAUGACCACCUGUGGCGAAGGCGGUCUACCAGAACACGUUCGACGGUGAGGGAUGAAAGCUGGGGGAGCAAACCGGAUUAGAUACCCGGGUAGUCCCAGCUGUAAACUAUGCAAACUCAGUGAUGCAUUGGCUUGUGGCCAAUGCAGUGCUGCAGGGAAGCCGUUAAGUUUGCCGCCUGGGAAGUACGUACGCAAGUAUGAAACUUAAAGGAAUUGGCGGGGGAGCACCACAAGGGGUGAAGCCUGCGGUUCAAUUGGAGUCAACGCCGGAAA
rnacentral:rRNA from 1 species